UACGUAGGGGCCAAGCGUUACCCGGAUUUACUGGGCGUAAAGGGCGUGUAGGUGGCUGCGUAAGUUUGCUGUGAAAUCUUUCGGCUCAACCGGGAGAGGUCAGCGAAUACUGCGCGGCUUGAGGGCAGCAGAGGAAGGUGGAAUUCCCGGUGUAGCGGUGAAGUGCGUAGAUAUCGGGAGGAACACCAGUGGCGAAGGCGGCCUUCUGGGCUGUCCCUGACACUGAGGCGCGAAAGCGUGGGGAGCAAACCGG
rnacentral:rRNA from 1 species